UAUGUGACCAGACGUUGGUAUCGUGUUUUAGUGUAGCGGUUUACUUUCUGUUUGCCACGGGCUUCCUUCAAAUAAAUUUUCCCUGUUGCAAACCUCCAAGAUUUAAGUCAGAUAACUUGCAUCAAAUAUGCAGAUGUAAGACAUAAUUUUAAUCCGUAGAAGGUGCUUCAGAAUGACAAGUCCAGAAGUUAUAAGAAUCGAAAGAUAAUUUAGUGAAAGGAAAGUCGAACGUUGGUCGUCUGCGUUUCGUCAAUAGGUGCCUUCUUAAAGGAAAACGUCCUCGAGUCUCGGGGCGCAAUAAACUCUGGCUAAACAGUGCCCUUCUCAAGGCAUUCUCAAUGGAGAAUUUCUCAAGGCAACCUCCAAGCGAGGAACAUCAGAAUAAAAAGAAAAAAUAAAUGACACGAACUUAUGGGGCGACCUAAUACAAUUGGAAGAUAAUACAAUUACAUUCUAUGUAUAAAAGAAAAUAAAAAGCAACAGUUCCAAAUGUUAUACCUAAAACAAUAACGUUGAUAUGCCUACUACUUGGUUUAACCUUCCAUUUGGCGAACAGUUAAGCUAACGGAAAACAGAAAAAUCAUGCAAUGGCCGUAGAAUUUGAAGAAACAUGAACGUACAGUAUCACUGGGUAUG